CAAGGCUUGACAUACUGGAAGUAGAAAACCGAAAGGUGGACGAACUGUUAAGUCAGGAGCCAGUACAGGUGCUGCAUGGUUGUCGUCAGCUCGUGCCGUGAGGUGUUGGGUUAAGUCCCGUAACGAGCGCAACCCUCGUUGCUAGUUGAUUUCUCUAGCGAGACUGCCCCGCGAAACGGGGAGGAAGGUGGGGAUGACGUCAAAUCAGCACGGCCUUUAUGCCUUGGGCUACACACACGCUACAAUGGGUAGUACAGAUGGUAGCGAAACCGCGAGGCGGAGCAAAUCCCACAAAACUACCCCCAGUUCAGAUUGCAGGCUGAAACCCGCCUGCAUGAAGUCGGAGUUGCUAGUAAACGCAGGUCAGCAGACUGCGUUGAAUACGUUCU
rnacentral:rRNA from 1 species